AGCAGCCGCGGUAAUUCCAGCUCCAAUAGCGUAUAUUAAAGUUGUUGCAGUUAAAAAGCUCGUAGUUGAAUUUCGGGAUUGACACAUCGGUCGUGCCUUAAGGGGUAUGAACUGGUGUAGUCAAUUUCUCACCUUCUGGAGAACCGCAAUGCCCUUAAUUGGGUGUCGCGGGGAACCAGGACCUUUACUUUGAAAAAAUUAGAGUGUUUAAAGCAGGCAUUUUGCUUGAAUACAUUAGCAUGGAAUAAUAAAAUAGGACGGCAUGAUUCUAUUUUGUUGGUUUCUAGGAUCACCGUAAUGAUUAAUAGGGAUAGUUGGGGGCAUUGGUAUUCAAUUGUCAGAGGUGAAAUUCUUGGAUUUAUUGAAGACUAACUACUGCGAAAGCAUUUGCCAAGGAUGUUUUCAUUAAUCAAGAACGAAAGUUAGGGGAUCGAAGACGAUCAGAUACCGUCGUAGUCUUAACCAUAAACUAUGCCGACUAGGAAUCAGACGAUGUUAAUUUUUAAUGACUCGUUUGGCA
rnacentral:rRNA from 1 species